CCGGUAAUUCCAGCUCCAAUAGCGUAUAUUAAAGUUGUUGCAGUUAAAAAGCUCGUAGUUGAACCUUGGGCCUGGCUGGCCGGUCUGCCUCACCGCAUGCACUGGUCCGGCCGGGCCUUUCCCUCUGGGGAGCCGCAUGCCCUUCACUGGGUGUGUCGGGGAACCAGGACUUUUACUGUGAAAAAAUUAGAGUGUUCAAAGCAGGCAUAUGCUCGAAUACAUUAGCAUGGAAUAAUAGAAUAGGACGUCGCGGUUCUAUUUUGUUGGUUUCUAGGACCGCCGUAAUGAUUAAUAGGGACAGUCGGGGGCAUCAGUAUUCAAUCGUCAGAGGUGAAAUUCUUGGAUCGAUUGAAGACUAACUACUGCGAAAGCAUUUGCCAAGGAUGUUUUCAUUAAUCAGGAACGAAAGUUAGGGGAUCGAAAACGAUCAGAUACCGUUGUAGUCUUAACCAUAAACUAUGCCGACUAGGGAUCGGGCGGUGUUAUUUCUUGACCCGCUCGGCACCUUACACGAAAGUAAAGUUUUUGGGUUCUGGGGGGAGUAUGGUCGCAAGGCUGAAACUUAAAGAAAUUGACGGAAGGGCACCACAAGGGGUGGAGCCUGCGGCUUAAUUUGACUCAACACGGGGAAACUCACCAGGUCCAGACACAACUAGGAUUGACAGAUUGAGAGCUCUUUCUUGAUUUUGUGGGUGGUGGUGCAUGGCCGUUCUUAGUUGGUGGAGUGAUUUGUCUGCUUAAUUGCGAUAACGAACGAGACCUUAACCUGCUAAAUAGCCCGUGCCGCCUAGGCGGCACGCCGGCUUCUUAGAGGGACUAUCGGCUCAACCGAUGGAAGUUUGAGGCAAUAA
rnacentral:rRNA from 1 species